rnacentral:lncRNA from 1 species
UCUGAAGUCUUCAUCCUCUGAACGUUGUAACCUCUGAAGUCCGACAUCUUCUGAGCGCUUGUGAACUUCUGAGUUCACAUCCUCUGAACUCCACUUCAGGACUUAUAUGAUGCUUAUAUCUGCGCACUUAAAAUAAAUUUUUAGUCCUUCCAAUUGUUUAUUAAUACUUUGUUAUCAUCAAAACCUUUAUAGAUUUAGGGGCAAACAUUUUUAAAUCGAUUUUGUUCCAACAUAGUUUGUUAGAAUCAGUUAGGUUUGAUUCACCUAGGUUGUUAGAGUGUGUUAGAGUCAGUUAGGAAGUUGUUAGUUGGUUAGGGCCUAAGAGAAUCAUCAACUAAUGUGAUGAUCUAGUAGUAUAAAUAAAUGGCUCAUGAUUAGUGAUUGUAUUCAACUACUUUUCCCCAUUGAGGAUGAAUAAAACUGAUUCUAUUUUUCUCUAAUCUUCUUCUUCUUCUUCCUCUGUUAAUCAAGUGCUUUUCAUUCUUUCAUUCAUUCACCAUUGUUGNNNNNNNNNNNNNNNNNCAUUGUUGCAGCAACAAGGAUAGUAGAUCCUGCAGAAACUGUGCUCAUUGGCGUGGCCAGAGUGCAGUGCAGCGCGCGCGUGUAUCCUUGCUUGCUUGCUAGGCCUGUGCAGGCCAAAGUGAU